rnacentral:misc_RNA from 1 species
CAUUAUCGUACAACCGAGGUGCAAGGGCUGUCGCUGACCUCCAAAGGUUGUGCACGCCCGAGCGCUCUCACACAAUCCAUCUCACACCCCUUUGUGCAUCACCGCGAGGGUCCCAGUGGCUGUAACGGCCCCAAGGUGGGAAUGCGAGGCGAUGUUUUCCCCAACGGAGUCCCGUGCUCGUGCGCCGAGUUCAAGACUGUCCCCUCCAGAAAACUUUGGUGUCCAUCGUCCCUCACAGCGUAGGCUGUGGUCGGAUUUGGAGUAAUCGGCCCUUGUCUAGCCAGGGAAGCAAUUCCGCAGCUAGCAGGACUCACCGAGUUGGUCUUAGGAGAUCAGGGCACGUCAUCUGUCGCGCGGGUGCGCCGUGUCCCUCGUAGACCUUUAUACCUCGCGUUUUCACACAAUCCUCUGAUACAGUGUAGAAUGUUAUUUUACCUUUUGCGGCCACACGCAAUCAAUACAACUUUCAACAACGGAUCUCUUGGCUCUCGCAUCGAUGAAGAACGCAGCGAAAUGCCAUAU